GGUGGUUAGGAGCAGGUUGGUUGAAUUUUUCCGAAACAUGGGCUUAAGCAUUGUUUUCGACGAUGAUAUAACUAAAGCCAACUUUUUGGAUAUUACCCUUAACUUACAUAAUGAUUCAUAUUUCCCAUACCAUAAACCCUCAACUAAUUUAAAAUAUAUUAGCUCUUUCAGUAAUCACCCAAAGGCUAUU